AUUGAACGCUGGCGGCAGGCCUAACACAUGCAAGUCGAACGAGUGGCGGACGGGUGAGUAAUGUCUGGGAAACUGCCCGAUGGAGGGGGAUAACUACUGGAAACGGUAGCUAAUACCGCAUACCAUCGGAUGUGCCCAGAUGGGAUUAGCUUGUAGGUGAGGUAACGGCUAACCUAGGCGCCGAUCCCUAGCUGGUCUGAGAGGAUGACCAGCCACACUGGAACUUAGACACGUCGCAGACUCAUACGGGAGGCAGCAGUGGGUAAUAUUGCACAAUGGGGGCAAGCCUGAUGCAGCCAUGCCGCGUGUAUGAAGAAGGCCUUCGGGUUGUAAAGUACUUGCAGCGGGGAGGCGUUACCCGCAGAAGAAGCACCGGCUAACUCCGUGCAAGCCGCCGCGGUAAUAC
rnacentral:rRNA from 1 species